GUCCAGAUGAGUGCGAAUGGAAGGAAAAAAAAAAAUGGAAAAACCAAGGAAGAGAUUUCAGACAGAGGCAGACAUGGGCAAGGAAGUUUUUAAAAGAAGGACGGAAAUAUUAACAGCACACAAUGGAAAAACUUUGAACCAUUCUGAGCCAAAGCAUGCGGUACUGUACACCUCACCUGUAACACAGAACUAGCAUACCUGAGACUGAUCAAUCAUCCAGAGGACAGAGGGUAGUUCAAGAUUACCACUGUAGUCCUAUUCUGAGAACAACGGCUUUCUCUUCUACGCAUGCAUGUACUACCAUAUGAGCUAAAGUACAUGCCUUCACUACGAAGAAUGUAACUCAUACGAUGUUCCAGAAAAAUCCAUUUCCAUUAGAAAAGUAAUUGCCAUGAGAUGAAACAGCGGAAGUAGAAUUAUCUACAUUCAAAGGAAUAUGAUGGUUGGUCUCAGAUCAUGCAGUUACAUUAUUUCACUGAUGAUAUUCUUGCUUUCUUUUCUUCCUACCUUAUAUUUCUUCACUCCUCAAAGAUAUCUACUCCACCAUUAUUCAAGGAUAUCCACACUUACCUUCACAAGUUCCAGAAUAUAAAAGUAGGUAUAGCAGCACAAUGCAUUUCAAAAUAUUGUUAAGAUACCAAAAAAUAGUAAAAUAGUCUUGAUGUAAUAUGAACAGGCUAGAAUCUAAACACAGAAUUUGAUAACAAAAUUGUUUCUGCAAGAUGCUGUACUGCAAGGCACAGAGUGAU